CCUCUCCAGCAGCUUCUUGUCUUUCUUGUACUGCUUCUACACCUGAAAUGUCCUUCCUGGAUGACAUCUGAUACCAACUGAUCUGCAAUUUUUGUGUAAUUCUGUCAAUGGGAAAAGGCACUGAGGAACUGCAAGAAUGAAUUGGCCUCCCUGUGAGUCACGAGGUCUUAAACUUAGAAAUUCAGCUGUGCAAUAAGCAUGUGAUCUCCUUAGCAUGCCAGGAGACAUUCCCAGAGUGCCUGAUCCUCAGCAGUUGGUUGGAAGCACCCCCAGCCCAGGGUUGUUUUGUGCCUGGAUGGAAUUGGCUGCGAGUCCCGGUAGAAAUGAGCUCAUCCCAAGGAGUGAGCUCUGCCUGGUGUCCCCUGACCUCUGUGGGAACAGUGUGUGUGCAGCCUGCAGAGCACUGAUUUCAUGGAAUACAUGUUUACCAGCUGCAGCCAAGAUUUAUUGCCCAAUUCUGAGUGCUGUGGGGUGGCCUGUGCUGUCACUGAGGUGAGGAGGCAUUUACAGCUGGCAGUGCCUUGCAGGACUGAUGUUCAGCCUGUAACAGUUUCUUCAGGGUGCUUGCAACAUUUUGUUUUCACAGAGAAAUACUUAUUUCUCAAUUUUAUUCAGAGUGUAAAUGUUUCAGGCGCAGAGAUAAAUGUUACAUGGGGGGAUGGAGACCAAAUAUAUCAAGAGUGGCCCUGAAAGCAAGUAAUGCCUUUAAGUGCUGCCUUACUGCUGACAUAGGAAAGCUUUUAGGUGGUGAGAUUUUUGGGAAGUAGCUUUGCAAAGGUGGUAACUGUUACCUCCCCAGGGAUGGUGCUCUCUUGUCUGAGAUUGUCAGGCUUCGUGUGAUGGUGGGUCCUGGAUCUGGUGUCCUGUGGGAAAAUGGCAUCCAUAGCUAAAGGAAAGCAGAGGGUGCUCUUGGCAAUAAAAUAUAUGGGGCAUCUAAUUAUCUAAUGAUUACAUGAGUAUGAUCUUAUACUGUGCACUGAAACAGAGACUCUUUGCACACUCUUCAGUUUGUAUAAGUUUUUGCUCUUUUUGUUUGAAUCAUUACAUUGAAAAUAAUUCAGUCCAGGUAUUCUUAAGCUAGAGGAUGAAAUAGGAAUACUUAAGGUUUGUACCUAAGAUGUCUUGAAUAUUUCUGCAAAUGUUUCAAUUUCCAUGCAGUUCUCUGGUUUUCAUUGUGAAUAUGAAGAAAUAUGGGGGAAAAUUUAAUCUACUGCCCUUUGAUGAUGUGCAGAAGCACAACCAGUCCUGUAACAGAUGAGUAACUUGGUUGCCCAGAGAGGUUGUAGAUCCCCGUCCCUGGAAGUGUCCAAAACCAGGCUGGACAGGGCUUGGAGUAACCUGGUCUAGUGGAAGGUCCC